GACGAACGCUGGCGGCGUGCCUAAUACGUGCAAGUCGAACGCUUUUUCUUUCACCGGAGCUUGCUCCACCGAAAGAAAAAGAGUGGCGAACGGGUGAGUAACACGUGGGUAACCUGCCCAUCAGAAGGGGAUAACACUUGGAAACAGGUGCUAAUACCGUAUAACACUAUUUUCCGCAUGGAAGAAAGUUGAAAGGCGCUUUUGCGUCACUGAUGGAUGGACCCGCGGUGCAUUAGCUAGUUGGUGAGGUAACGGCUCACCAAGGCAACGAUGCAUAGCCGACCUGAGAGGGUGAUCGGCCACACUGGGACUGAGACACGGCCCAGACUCCUACGGGAGGCAGCAGUAGGGAAUCUUCGGCAAUGGACGAAAGUCUGACCGAGCAACGCCGCGUGAGUGAAGAAGGUUUUCGGAUCGUAAAACUCUGUUGUUAGAGAAGAACAAGGAUGAGAGUAAAACGUUCAUCCCU
rnacentral:rRNA from 1 species